rnacentral:rRNA from 1 species
CACGCCGUAAACGAUGAGUACUAGGUGUAGGGGGUAUCGACCCCCCCUGUGCCGCAGUAAACACAAUAAGUACUCCGCCUGGGAAGUACGAUCGCAAGAUUAAAACUCAAAGGAAUUGACGGGGACCCGCACAAGCAGCGGAGCAUGUGGUUUAAUUCGAAGCAACGCGAAGAACCUUACCAGGACUUGACAUCCUACUAACGAGGUAGAGAUACGUCAGGUGCCCUUCGGGGAAAGUAGAGACAGGUGG